GGGCCAUAGCUCAGUGGCUGAGCAUCUGCUUUGCAUACAGAAACUCCUAGUUUCAAUCCCCAGGAUCUCCA